rnacentral:rRNA from 1 species
UGGGGAAUAUUGCACAAUGGGCGCAAGCCUGAUGCAGCCAUGCCGCGUGUAUGAAGAAGGCCUUCGGGUUGUAAAGUACUUUCAGCGGGGAGGAAGGCGAUAAGGUUAAUAACCUUGUCGAUUGACGUUACCCGCAGAAGAAGCACCGGCUAACUCCGUGCCAGCAGCCGCGGUAAUACGGAGGGUGCAAGCGUUAAUCGGAAUUACUGGGCGGAAAGCGCACGCAGGCGGUCUGUCAAGUCGGAUGUGAAAUCCCCGGGCUCAACCUGGGAACUGCAUUCGAAACGGGCAGGCUAGAGUCUUGUAGAGGGGGGUAGAAUUCCAGGUGUAGCGGUGAAAUGCGUAGAGAUCUGGAGGAAUACCGGUGGCGAAGGCGGCCCCCUGGACAAAGACUGACGCUCAGGUGCGAAAGCGUGGGGAGCAAACA